CGUGUAGCUUGGCCUCGCAGAGCAUUGCGUUCGGGACGCAAAGGCCAGAGUUCUAAUCCUUGUGUCACGACCA
rnacentral:tRNA from 1 species